rnacentral:lncRNA from 1 species
GUGAUCAGGGACACCAGCCUAGCAACAGAACCCCCACUGCCCUGCCCCCUCCAGCAAACAUACUUCCAAGCUCCUGUUUCCCAAGACCACAUUCUCUAAGCUGUAGCCUCAAGCUACCUAACAGAGUGAUUCAGAAAUUCCCUCUCUUGCCCUAUCCUUCAGCUGCAGGUCUCACAUCCUCUCUGCCGGGUCUCAGCCUGAUAACCUGGGAGUGUGAAAACAAACGGAGAUAAAAUAAAUUAAAUUUUUGUUUUCAGAGAAGAAAUAAAUUUUCAUUUGAAAUGACCUGAAAAUACACUGCAUAAUUUAGGCAGGCACACAAAUGACCAGCAAAGCAAGCUUGCAAAGGCCCCACUGCCUUUGUAUUUGGCAUCACGGGACUGGCUCAGAGUUACAGACUCAGACCAACAGAAAUAUUUUUCACCCCAUGUAGCAAAUACAUCCAGACUGUGCAGAGGCUCCUGGCUCCUGUCUGGCAGCCCACUACGCAGAGGCAUGAGAAGCUGAGCUGGCCGAAGCCGGAGACGCCCAUCCUGGGUGGGAAGAGGGCUGCCAAGUCUGAUGGAGACACAGUGACCAGGGUAAAGUGCCCAAGCUCUCUGUCAAAGGGAAUCACAUAAAGAUCCUAGCAACUCCCUCAUCCCAAGAUGGUGUGCAGGGAACAAAAAAAAGAAUUUACCCUGCCAAGAUACCCCCAUGCCACUUUUCUUGGGAAAUCCAGAAACUUGGCCUUCCCAAAUCCACAGCCACUUACAGACUCUGAAUUCUUCCUGACCACGGAGGUGAGGUAUGUAUGCACUUAACAUAUGCCUGACAUAUGGUAAGUACUUAACAAAAGAUAGCAAUUAAAAUCAUUGUUGCUGCUGUUAUUAUUUCCCCAGACAUACACUCCUCUCUUCCCAGAUGUCUUAUCCACCUCCUCUCCAAUCCCUGGAAAAAAGAGUCAAGGUUAACUGCCCCUCUAGUACAUUCAGGCUCUUCAAAGCCAAGCUCCAAGCCGAAACUCGCAGCAAGCAAUGCUUCCAGGACUGUGGAACUCAGCCCAGAGUACACCAUGGAGACCCUCGUCGCAGAGGCGAUGAGAAUGCCCUGGGUAUGGCUUCACAAGCACCAGCUGAGGAUCAAACGACCACCAGGACCUCUUACCUGCCCUUAUUUUCUGAAAGGGUGAACCUGUGUAAGCCCAAGGUCAACAGCAUCAAAUGUGAGACACACACACUUCCUCUACUGAGCAGAGGAAAAUAUUCAGGUACAAAGGAGACACUGAGUCAUUCCCAGGUAAGUAAUGUCACUGGCAUGUGGCAAAAAGGCCAGCGCCAUGGGGGAGACGUGACUCGGCUCCAGCCUGGCCCCAUGAUCUCUCUACGUGUUUUCACAGGUCAGUCCAGCUGCCCGUGA